AUUUAUUGAGUAAUAUAUAUUUUUUUAAUUUAUUUUAUAAUUUAUUAUACAUAAAUGUUGAAAAUCAUAACGAAUAAUUAUCAAAACCCACAAGUAUCAUUUGCAUAAUAUUUACUAAUUAUUAAUUUAAUGUUCAAAUAGAAAAAUAGCAAUUAACAAAUACGGUUAUUUUAUUCUUUAGUUUGCAAAUCUGAAGUGAAACAGCAUUUUGAGGUAUAUAAAAACAUUCAAAUGCUGGCAUUUUUAAUACUUCACAAACAAAAUAAUAUAUGUUAAUAAAAUAUUUCUUGAUAAACUUAGAAUUUUCUAUUUAUUUACUAGGUUUGCUAAAUGUCUGGUAAUUAAAUCAAUUUGCGAAGGCUAGAUAAUUUUUAUUUAUUGCUAUAAUUUUUUUAAAUUGUUAUUAAAUGAUGUCAUAAUAUAAAAAGUAUAAUAAUGAUGAUAAUUAUUCACCAAGAUCUAUGAAUGCCAUGAUUUGUAGAGUAUUUGCUAACUGAUUAUCAUUUAUAUUAAUUUGAAAUUCAAAUAAAAAAGUAUUAGUUUUAAUAUUAUAUAAUUAUUUCAUUAUUUAGGUUUGAAAUCUUCAGUUAAAUGACGUCUUGAGAUUGCAUAUAUGAAGGUUUGCUAAAUCCUUGGAAAUCGUAAUCAAACGACAAAGAUCAUAGGUCGUUUGAAAUCUUCAGUUGAAUGACGUCUUGAGAUUGUGUAUAUGAAGGUUUGCUAAAUCCUUGGGAGUUGUAAUCAAACGACAAAGAUCAUAGGUUGUUUGAAAUCUUCAGUUAAAUGAUGACAUCUUGAGAUUGUAUAUAUGAAGGUUUGCUAAAUUCUUGGGAAAUUAUGAUCAAUCGACAAAGAUCGUAGAUUACUUGGAAAUCUUCAAUGAAACAGCGUCUUGAGAUUGUACAUGUUUACUACAUCCAGGGAAAUUAAUUGAACGAUGAUAGUUAUACAGAUUGCUUGCAGAUCUUAAGUGAAACAGCAUCUUGAAAUUUUGUGAAGGUUUGCUGAAUCCAGGGAAACUAAUCGAACGCUCAAUUAUACAGAUUGCCUGCAAAGUUGAAAUACAACAUCUUGAAAUUGUGUAAAGCGAUUCUAGAUGUUUCUCGAGAUUUACGAACUGGUUGAUGUAUGGCAUCCAUCUUUAUCUACCCUCGUCCAAGGAUUGCAACAAAAAGAAAUAAGACAUUGCGGUGUUCACAAUCUAACAAUGAAGACAAUGAAUUAGUCAUUUAAAGUAGUUAGUAUAAGAUGCUGAUUAAAUAAACAAUAUGUAAUUCUAUGUAAAGUCAUUUUAAUUAUUUUAAAAUUAGCUUUUUAAUCUCAGAAUUUGCUUAAAAUUUUAAAACUCCUUAUUUUUUCAUCUUUCAAAUUUAUGUUAAUAAUUGUAUACCUGCAUGAAUGAAAGCAAAAUUUCACUAAAAUUUGAUUGAAUAAUAAAAGCUAAAAGAUUCGCACGG